UGUGACAACAUCACCUCCAACACAUGUGGAUGCAUCAAUGCCAUCCCUGCUGAUGGACAGCAAUGUCAGCCACUGACAGAUGUCUUGAUUUGUCCAUCAACAACUCCUCCAGUUGUAACAACUACAACUGUUGCAACAACUAGGAAUACUACAGCAUUCUUAACACCAACCACCACAGCCAUAACAGAUUCAACACCUACAACACAUCUGAACACCACAACGGCUGCAACAACAACUGUAACAAAUUCAACAUCGGCUACAACACGUUUUAACACCACAACAGUAACAUCAACAGCAGUGGUAACAAAUUCCACACCUAUUGCUACAACAAAUCUGACCACUACAACAGCUGCAACACCAACUGUAACAAGUCAGUGAUUUUAAAUAAUUUUACAAAUGUCCUACAUUUUUGUCUGUAGUAUAUCCUCAUAUAUCAGAUUUUACUUUUACCAACACUAACAACUGUUGUUCGUGGUUGGUUUUCAA